rnacentral:rRNA from 1 species
AAAUUGAAGAGUUUGAUCAUGGCUCAGAUUGAACGCUGGCGGCAGGCCUAACACAUGCAAGUCGAACGGUAACAGGAAGCAGCUUGCUGCUUCGCUGACGAGUGGCGGACGGGUGAGUAAUGUCUGGGAAGCUGCCUGAUGGAGGGGGAUAACUACUGGAAACGGUAGCUAAUACCGCAUAAUGUCGCAAGACCAAAGAGGGGGACCUUCGGGCCUCUUGCCAUCGGAUGUGCCCAGAUGGGAUUAGCUUGUUGGUGGGGUAACGGCUCACCAAGGCGACGAUCCCUAGCUGGUCUGAGAGGAUGACCAGCCACACUGGAACUGAGACACGGUCCAGACUCCUACGGGAGGCAGCAGUGGGGAAUAUUGCACAAUGGGCGCAAGCCUGAUGCAGCCAUGCCGCGUGUAUGAAGAAGGCCUUCGGGUUGUAAAGUACUUUCAGCGGGGAGGAAGGGAGUAAAGUUAAUACCUUUGCUCAUUGACGUUACCCGCAGAAGAAGCACCGGCUAACUCCGUGCCAGCAGCCGCGGUAAUACGGAGGGUGCAAGCGUUAAUCGGAAUUACUGGGCGUAAAGCGCACGCAGGCGGUUUGUUAAGUCAGAUGUGAAAUCCCCGGGCUCAACCUGGGAACUGCAUCUGAUACUGGCAAGCUUGAGUCUCGUAGAGGGGGUAGAAUUCCAGGUGUAGCGGUGAAAUGCGUAGAGAUCUGGAGGAAUACCGGUGGCGAAGGCGGCCCCCUGGACGAAGACUGACGCUCAGGUGCGAAAGCGUGGGGAGCAAACAGGAUUAGAUACCCUGGUAGUCCACGCCGUAAACGAUGUCGACUUGGAGGUUGUGCCCUUGAGGCGUGGCUUCCGGAGCUAACGCGUUAAGUCGACCGCCUGGGGAGUACGGCCGCAAGGUUAAAACUCAAAUGAAUUGACGGGGGCCCGCACAAGCGGUGGAGCAUGUGGUUUAAUUCGAUGCAACGCGAAGAACCUUACCUGGUCUUGACAUCCACGGAAGUUUUCAGAGAUGAGAAUGUGCCUUCGGGAACCGUGAGACAGGUGCUGCAUGGCUGUCGUCAGCUCGUGUUGUGAAAUGUUGGGUUAAGUCCCGCAACGAGCGCAACCCUUAUCCUUUGUUGCCAGCGGUCCGGCCGGGAACUCAAAGGAGACUGCCAGUGAUAAACUGGAGGAAGGUGGGGAUGACGUCAAGUCAUCAUGGCCCUUACGACCAGGGCUACACACGUGCUACAAUGGCGCAUACAAAGAGAAGCGACCUCGCGAGAGCAAGCGGACCUCAUAAAGUGCGUCGUAGUCCGGAUUGGAGUCUGCAACUCGACUCCAUGAAGUCGGAAUCGCUAGUAAUCGUGGAUCAGAAUGCCACGGUGAAUACGUUCCCGGGCCUUGUACACACCGCCCGUCACACCAUGGGAGUGGGUUGCAAAAGAAGUAGGUAGCUUAACCUUCGGGAGGGCGCUUACCACUUUGUGAUUCAUGACUGGGGUGAAGUCGUAACAAGGUAACCGUAGGGGAACCUGCGGUUGGAUCACCUCCUUACCUUAAAGAAGC